GAUGAACGCUGGCGGCGUGCCUAAUACAUGCAAGUCGAGCGAACGGACGAGAAGCUUGCUUCUGUGAUGUUAGCGGCGGACGGGUGAGUAACACGUGGAUAACCUACCUAUAAGACUGGGAUAACUUCGGGAAACCGGAGCUAAUACCGGAUAAUAUUUUGAACCGCAUGGUUCAAAAGUGAAAGACGGUCUUGCUGUCACUUAUAGAUGGGUCCGCGCUGCAUUAGCUAGUUGGUAAGGUAACGGCUUACCAAGGCAACGAUGCAUAGCCGACCUGAGAGGGUGAUCGGCCACACUGGAACUGAGACACGGUCCAGACUCCUACGGGAGGCAGCAGUAGGGAAUCUUCCGCAAUGGGCGAAAGCCUGACGGAGCAACGCCGCGUGAGUGAUGAAGGUCUUCGGAUCGUAAAACUCUGUUAUUAGGGAAGAACAUAUGUGUAAGUAACUGUGCACAUCUUGACGGUACCUAAUCAGAAAGCCACGGCUAACUACGUG
rnacentral:rRNA from 1 species